rnacentral:piRNA from 1 species
UUCUAGACUUCAGUGUGUACUCCCUCACAU